rnacentral:rRNA from 1 species
CCUACGGGUGGCGGCAGUGGGGAAUAUUGGGCAAUGGGCGCAAGCCUGACCCAGCAACGCCGCGUGAAGGAAGAAGGCUUUCGGGUUGUAAACUUCUUUUAAGGGGGAAGAGCAGAAGACGGUACCCCUUGAAUAAGCCACGGCUAACUACGUGCCAGCAGCCGCGGUAAUACGUAGGUGGCAAGCGUUGUCCGGAUUUACUGGGUGUAAAGGGCGUGCAGCCGGAGAGACAAGUCAGAUGUGAAAUCCACGGGCUCAACCCGUGAACUGCAUUUGAAACUGGCAAACUGGAGUGUGUGAGAGGAUAGUGGAAUUCCAGGUGUAGGAGUGAAAUCCGUAGAUAUCUGGAGGAACAUCAGUGGCGAAGGCGACUAUCUGGCACAUAACUGACGCUGAGGAGCGAAAGCGUGGGUAGCAAACAGGAUUAGAUACCCCUGUAGUC